rnacentral:rRNA from 1 species
CCUACGGGUGGCAGCAGUCGAGAAUCAUUCACAAUGGGGGAAACCCUGAAGGUGCGACGCCGCGUGGGGGACUGAUGGUCUUCGGAUUGUAAACCCCUGUCAUGUGGGAACAAAUUAAAAAGAUAGUACCACAAGAGGAAGAGACGGCUAACUCUGUGCCAGCAGCCGCGGGAAUACAGAGGUCUGAAGGGUUGUUCGGAAUCACUGGGCUUAACUCGUUCGUAGGCUGUUCCGUAAGUCGUGUGGGAAAGGCGCGGGGUCAAACGGCGGACGGCAGAUGAUACUGCGAGACUAGAGUAAGGGAGAGGGAAGCGGAAUGCGCGGUGUAGCAGUGAAAUGCGUAGAUAUC